GCGGCGGACGGGUGAGUAACGCGUAGGCAACCUGCCUUACACAGAGGGAUAGCCAUUGGAAACGAUGAUUAAAACCUCAUAACGCCUUUAGUACACAUGUACGAAAGGCCAAAGAUUUAUCGGUGUAAGAUGGGCCUGCGUCUGAUUAGUUAGUUGGUGAGGUAACGGCUCACCAAGGCGACGAUCAGUAGCCGACCUGAGAGGGUGAUCGGCCACAUCGGAACUGAGACACGGUCCAAACUCCUACGGGAGGCAGCAGUGGGGAAUAUUGCACAAUGGGCGAAAGCCUGAUGCAGCAACGCCGCGUGAAGGAAGAAGGCUUUCGGGUCGUAAACUUCUGUCCUUGGGGAAGAAAAAAAUGACGGUACCCAUGGAGGAAGCCCCGGCUAACUACGUGCCAGCAGCCGCGGUAAUACGUAGGGGGCAAGCGUUAUCCGGAAUUAUUGGGCGUAAAGAGUACGUAGGUGGUUAUCUAAGCGCAGGGUUUAAGGCAAUG
rnacentral:rRNA from 1 species